CGCGUCCUUGCGCGGCUCGGCUCGUUCGAGGUAGAGCACUCAAUGGGCUAGGGUGGCCCCAUUUCGCCUUACCAACCCCAAGGAAACUCCGAAUACAGGCCUAGAUCGUUUGUACAGACAGACUUUUUGGGUGCUAAGAUCCAAAGUCGAGAGGGAAACAACCCAGAUCGUACGCUAAGGUCCCUAAGCAAUCACUUAGUGGAAAAGGAAGUGAUCGAGCGAUGACAACCAGGAGGUGGGCUUGGAAGCAGCCAUCCUUUGAAGAAAGCGUAAGGCCCGUAGCUUACAACAUCUUAUGAGAAGGGCCUGUAGCUCGAUACAAUUUAAGGCCAGUUGCGUGCUUGCUAGAG
rnacentral:lncRNA from 1 species